UGUCAUUGGAUAAAUUUCACAGGGAAUGAAGUUGUAUGUGCAAGUGUGUAGGUCUGAAAAUAGUCAUGCAUGCAAUAUCUGCACCCCUUUCUGAAGAUCUACAAGAAAUAAAGUUUUUAAUCACUGUAUUUCUCUUGCUGUCAAAGGCACAAGAUAAGCUUAUUCUUUUAAAAGCUACACUGCCUUACUGUUCUUAAAACCACAUAGGAAUUUCCAUGGCCAGCUCUUCACCAGUCCUUUUUAGCACCCAAGCAGUCAGAACAGCAGCCAGGAGUCCUCCAAAACAGACAUUUUGCACCAGUGACUCAGAUUUGUUCCGCUUCACGUUUUUUGUGACUGAAGUUCCACUAUAGACCAUCUGUUAUGGCCACUCAGGCAGGAAUACAAGCUCACAUCCACGUUGGUGUUCUAUCUGCUCUUUACAUAGAAACUUAUCAAACAGGAUUGCUAAACAGAUAACAGUGUGGAAGACCCGCUCUACUGAGCAAUAAACAUAAAUGGAUUUAACUGGAGCUUGUAAAUGUUUCAGGAAACACAUCCAGCAUGUAUUUGUCUACAGUAAGGGUCAUAUAAUAGUCCAUAAAGAUCUCCUGUAAGUCAAAAGGAGCAUUAUCAGUGGGCCUAUGGGAUUAGUUCAGAUAUUCCCUGUACCAAUCCUAGUAAGCAAGAAAAGAUGUGAUCUCCCCAGAGAACUAAUUAUUCAGGCCAGCAGGAAGAAAGACCAGAAAGAGAAAAUGUUAUGGAGAAAGCAGCAGUGCUGUUUGAAGAGGCAAAUCAGUAUGUGAACAAGGCUUUUCUGAUGCAUCUUAACAAAAGUGAACAAGGUGGAAUUCUGCAUCAAAGUAACCGUCCUGCUCCAUCAAUUUGAUUGAAACAGUAUGAUCUGACAUUUUUUACUUCUGAAUCAAAUUUGUCUGGAUCAAAAAAAAAUUUAUUUCAGCUGUUUACACUGCAGUUAAUUUCUGCUUCUUAUGCUUCAUAUUUUGAGGGGGAAUGGUAUGACCAAUUUUUGGGCAAUGUUUAUAAUCAGUGCCAAAUCUCAGUAAUAAGAAGCUUGUACUGCUUGCAUCAGUGCUUCUCCAUGUCUCAGCUAAGUGAUAACGCUGUCCAUGCCCUCAGGAACUGGAAUUCUGAUAUGCACAUUUGGGAUAAGGAUUUUAGGGUCACAGACACAACUACCCGAAUGGGAACUAAUUCUUCUUCUCCUCUGUUUAUAGACACUGCGUCACUUGAAGUCUGUUUCUGUAGUCAACAUGGUAAGAUAAGUGGGAUCUCACUCGCCUCUGCAGCUGGCUAGCUGCCUCCUCCUAGCAUAACAAGCCUAGCUGCUUUCACUUAUUUUCCAAUUACCUUUUUUUGUUCUUUUUUUGUUGUUGUUGAAUCCUUCCCCUCCCCCAGCUUCUUUACUUGCCUUCUAGCCCCAGGCACUCCUUUAGGCUUAGUUUUCCGAGCUUUUUGUUAACUUCCCUUCUCUGCCAGUUUCACUCUGCUUGCUUCUGGCAGUGCAGUGUCUUCCUCGCUGAUGUCUCCAGCUGUCACUCCCUAACCUCUGGAGGUUUGAGGUUCCAGAAAUCCCUGCAUUCUGAGGGUAUUGCCUGUGGGGCUGCCUCUGGGUGCUGAAAGCACACGUGGAAAUAGGGCACAGCCCAUGUGCUUCAUUGUCCCCUGUAUUGCUGGGGUAUGCCUGAAUUCCAAUUUUUAAACAGCUCUCCUUCCAUUUCUAAUUCCAUUUCUUUGCUUUUUGAUCAAGCCUCCUCAUUUCAGUUGUCUCCUAGUUUAAAGCCAUCCAUCCAUCCAUUAAGAUGAGCACCCUCUGAUCUGCCCCAGCUUCCUACAUCACCACACUCCAAGAGGAACAAAAUGGAUACAACAGCAGUAUGUGGUUAAGGUGUGCAGCAGUACUUCAAGUGCGUGAACCUUUCAUAGUGCUUCCCAAAUCUCCUGCAAGCUUAACCAGUACUAUAUCCUUGGUACUUAGGAGGAAAUGGGAAAAAUGCCAUACUCAAACACACGUUUCAGGCUGAAAAAACAAACCACUCAAUGUCUGCAGAGCAUGAUACAUAAUUUAGCAGGCAAGUUUCUCUCAUCCUAUAGUUCUUUUGUUCCCAUGAAUUGCUUAUUUCCUUUCUUUCUCUGUAUCAUUUUCUCCCAUAACCUUGUUGUUCUUCAACACCUUUUAAUUAUAGUAUGAAAUACAUAAGCAUGUAUUUAAAUAUAUCUCAGUUCCUGCUGCUGUCAUCCUGGUUAUAAAUGCAAUUUAAAAACCUUACUCAUAUUUAUGCACCAUUCAUCAAGUUUCUGAGGAGGAAAAAACUUACCUGUAUGCCUUCCUUUACAAGUUUUCCUUCAUUUCUGUGUGUCAAGGUGCUUUGGAAGGUGAAACCAAGAGGUUUCUUGCUUAGGGGCAACACUGUUGCACAUGUGGGGAUUCUUUACUAAUGGUUAUGGCAUCUUCUUUGCUUGGCAUAUCCUCAGGAACUGCUUUGCUAAUUGCUCCACUCUUUUUACACAGGGUGCUCAUUUGGUACUUGCCAAACUCUUCCAAUGUCCAUCUACAACUCAUAACACUUUCUUGACACUCUAUUCAUCAAGGCAACCAAGUGAACAGGGAAGUAGCUGCAAAAGUUGCUUGCUCCUUUGGCUCCCUCCUUUGUUCAGAGGAGCUCGUCUGAACUUUUAUUACAAAAAAUACUCAAGAAUUAAGAUAAAGACCCUCAUCCGGUGUGACUUUUCACUCACAGAACUGCACCUGGAACAUGGACCACAUCCACACAGUUCUGAAACAAUCCGGUGCUCCUCACAGCUCACGUUUCAUUUCAGAGCCAAACUUGGGAAAGCUCAGGCUAGCAGUUGCAUUUUAAAGGAGCUGGUUUCACCUUUUAAGUGUUUGAAGUUCAAAGUUUGUAUUUCAAAUUAAGGAAAGCUGAUAAUUUCUGGUAAUACAGAGGGCAUGGUGCCUUUAAUAGACUUAUUAACUGAAUUAAUGAGUGACUAUGUUUUUCAAUAGGGAGAAAGAAAAGGGAGUAGAAAGGGGCCAUGAAAGUUAGUACUUCUAUCCAAAGAAUUAAAAAAUCAGUUCUCAUGAUUGUUUUCAGUGAAAUAAUUUUAAGAAAGCAGAGGAUUUAUCAGUGAUGCUGCAGUAAAUGAGCAGCUCUCAGCAGUCCGCCAUCCUGAGUCUAUCAGCAUAUAUUCAAAUUUAUUGUCUUACAGACAGAUAGGACUUUGAUGGACCAGAGAUGGUUUGCAGUCCUUCCACACUCAUUAUGAGCUUAUCUUCCUGAAGCCUCCACACACUCACAGGAACCAUCGAACAUGCCAAAUGCUAUUAAGUGUACCAUUUGGUAGGUGCUAGAACUUUCCAUUUGCCUGCUUCAGAAUCUCAGCUCUGAAAGCAGAGUUUCCAUCACAACACAAGGAGAAAGUUUUCUCUGUGCAGGUGUUGGAGCACUGACACAGGCUGCCCAGAGAGGUUCUGGAGUCUCCUCCUUGGAGAUCUAAAGCCACCCAGAUGUGGGCCUGGCCUGCCUGCUCUGGGUCUCUGCUGAAGCACGGGUUGGACCAGCUGGACCCACAUUUAUCCACAGCCUAGAAGCUCAAGAAUGCUCACUGUAGCAGAUAUUUUACUUAUUUUGGCAAACAAAAGAUAGAACAAAAUAAAAUAAAUGCCCCAGAGCCCUUCAAGAAUAUUAGUACAUAAAUAGUAAUCAAGCUCAGUAACGUGUUCAGUGGCUUUUGUGAAAGCUGUCAUCUAUUAAUCACAGUUUAGUCAUUCGCGGUUGAUGUCAGAGCAACUUCUUUCUGCCAGUAUCCCAAACCAGCUACACUUCAUCUUAGCUGAAGUUAUCUUCAGAUGGCUUUCUAGAUUAGGUUUUGGUAAUUCAGGCUAGAUUACAAUACGUCAACAGCCCAUUUAACAUCCAUAGCAGGUCCUACCUGGAAACUGAGGAAAUAAAAGCAGCAGUUCUUGGUUCUGAAAUUGCCUUCCAGUCAGAAGCAUUUUACCUUUUUGCUUCUGGAAUGGAGACAGACAUACUAAUUGACAUUUCAUCACGUCAUCAGGAGCAGCCAAAUUCAGAAACACCAGGAACACAGGAGAACAGCAGUGAUUUUGCCCACAUUCAGUUGGCCGGCAGCAAAGAGGAGCGAUCCCAUGACUGUACAGCACAGACCAAAACAGCACGAAGCAUUUCCGUUCCCAAUUCUACAAAAAGUCCUUUGUCACUUUGAGAAAAUUCCUUUAACAUCCUUUCAUAUCCCACUAGUCCCCUCUGAAAGCGGCAGCUAGAGAAAGUUUUGUGGGCUGAAGUCAGAUUUGGAGUAGAUUAAUGCACGAUACUGAGUCUACAUGCAUACCAAACUGAGUAAUAGUGUUGCUAGACAAUUAACACUUGGAUUUAUUUUAGGUAAUAUUUUAUUUGGGAUGGGGUGCAGCCCAAAUGGUAGAGGAAAAAGGCCAGAAAACUGUUGUGAUCAUUUAGUCUGUAAGAGAUACAACUCAUUUCUCAAGAAAAAAUGAAGUCCAGUCUUAGUCCAGUGCCAUGGUGUCCCACAGGUGUUAGGCAAGUAGCUGGAAUGGUUAAUUGUGCCCCUAUCCCCCUUUAUAAAGUACCUCAUUUCCCAUUUGACUGAUGUUUUGAAUGGUGUCCCAUUUCAGCUUACAGGCAUUCAUCCUGUCAGACUCUGACUACUGUAAUGAAAGCCUUUUACUACCAAAUUUUAUCUCUGUAUAAAGUCAUUAGCUGAAGAACAAAGUCUUGCAGCACUCACAAGCUGCGGAAGGUGGGAUAUUCCUCUUUACAUCCUUCUGUCUUCGUUCUGUGGUUUUCUCCAGCACACGAGAUGCAGUACAGGGGCUGACAGGGGAUGAGUUUGUGGUGCUGGGGCUCAUACCUUCCACUAUCAGAUUUGGAGCGCAGGUCCCAAAGCAGCACAUGCCCCUCAGAACAGCACAAAACACCCCAUCUUUAGAGGGCCCUCACUCACAUGCACUUCAGAGAGACCAUGAGCUUCCUAGAAUUUGAAAUACAUAGGAUUCAGGCCAGCUCAGGAUUUACAACUUGCAUUGGUAAGUAAUGGUAUUGGCACUUAUUGUAUGUUUCCGUAUGGGGAAAGCAACAAAUGCAAGAGAACUUGAAUAGAAAUGAAACAAUGAUAAAAACAAACAUUGGGGAAAACAUCAAAAUACAAAUUUGUACUCCAAACAUUUAAACAGUGCUAAAUUUAGAUGCCUAUCAGGCUAAGUUAACCGGAGACAGGAAGAAAUUCACAAAUUGUCAGUCCUAAAUGAAAAGUGUAGUAGGUAGUUUUCUUUUACAUAGCUACUUCGUAAGUGUCCCCUUCACAAAGCACACUUAAAAGCAGGUUCACAGUGCGAGGGAAGCAGUUAACAGCACUGCAUUUCCUUUGCAGUGAUUCUCCCAGCAGUGCAGCCGCGCCGUGCAGCACUGGUACAGCUGAUGGUGCCCCACACCCUUGGAGUUGCACUGACAGCUUUUCCUGCUCUGUAUUGCAAAGCCUUCAGAGGCAGCAUUGGUUACACCAGAGGAUUCAUAGUUUUCUGAAAGGGCAACAGCUGCCCGUGCUCCACCUGAGUGCAGCUGAAGAGUUGAGGUCUGCAGCUGAGUGAACACAGCAUUUCUCCUUUACAUUAUUUAACAAUAAAAGGGAGACAGAGGCAAUAAGUGACUUUAGCCAAGUUACAAUUUUUCAGAAUAGUUUAGGAUGUGUUUUAUGUUCUGCAGGGGUUUUCCAUGACUUGGGGAAAGCCUAAGUGUGUACUGAGAAACAUCUUCAACCUUCCCAUAAUAAAGGCUGUGAAUGACUGCAGCUACUUAAGACCUGCCCUGGUUUCUAAGGAAGAUUUUAAGGGCACUAUUGGUGGCUUUAGUGCAUUAAAUACAACAACAGUAAUCUGCCAGUAACCAAACAGACCUGGCAGGAAAGCACCAUGGGUUUGUCAGACUUCAGUGAAAUUAAACACUUGUUCUGUCAUCUCUGUUCCUUACAAAUUACAGUGCAGCCUUCACGCAUCUCAUGCUGUCAUCCCAACUGUGCACAGCAGUAAGAGCCACUGCUGUUUAUAAAACACACUCAGGAACACAGCAAGCAAAUCGAGUUUUCAGCAGUGGUCAGAAGGCAACAGCCUUCACAUGCCCCACCAGCUCUCACUUCAGCCACCUCUUUCGCAUCCAUUCCAUUGCUCAGGCUCCACAGAAGGGUUUGAGUGGGAAGGGACAUUAAAGAUCAUCUAGUCCAGCUCCCAUCCAGUGAAGAUGAACAGGGACUUGCUGUUUGCGUUCCACCCUUUGGCUCUUCAGCAACAGACCACAAAUAAAAACUCAUCAGGAUUGCUUUAGCUUCACCCCCAGCAAAGAGCCUUCAUGUAACUUUUCCUUGGGGCUGCUUGGGUCACAGCCUGGAGCCUUUGUCUCUGAAGAGGUUUCUCCCUCUUGCAUUCAAUCCAACCCACUGCUUCCAAGUCAGAUUGACUGCAGCCUGCUGACAGCGUGCAGCAGUCACACAGGCACUGCCCAGCCACACUGAGGUCAGACCACACAGGUACCACCUCAUAAUUCCCAAAUGGAGGUACUGAUCUGUGCCAGAACACUCAGUGAUGAGCUGAGACACAGCUUCAGCUGGAGCAGUGGGAGAGAACGUGGGAUGAACACUGCAGUGUUUCACUGGGCAGGGAAAGGUUGGGGAUUUCUCAGUCUGCAGCCUGCCUGGCUGACAUUAUCUCUUCACUCAUCCAUUUCUGUUCACGUGUGUUUUACUCCCUCUGGUGCAUUGGCUGCACCUGCAGCCACAGUGCAAGGUGAGCACGUAGCAACACGGCUCAGAAGUCAGUCAGUGGCACUCACAGACACAGGGAAGAUUUUCUUGGGGGAAAGUAAAGAUAAAUGCCACUUUAUAUCACUCGUUAUAAACUGGUAUUCUAUUCAUAAUGGUUCUCAAGAACAUCCUGCUCAUGAAAUGCACAAUAAUGAAACCAUCUUGACAAAAAGAGAAUGCAUAUCAUAUAUAGUAAAUGCUGCAUUUUUCACACACCUAACCUGCACUUGGGUUCUGAGGGCCUGAAGUUUUAAUUUCGCUCCUUGAGAACAGCUAUGUAACAUACCUUUAAAAGUGAGGGGGUUUAUUUUUAGUCAUACUGGAGAUAAUGGAAAAAACCUCAAAUCCUGUCUAAAAUCUGGGAAAAAAUAAGCUAUGAAUGUCAGAACACCAUUUCCUUCCAGAAGAUUACCAAUGGUUUAUUAUUCCAAGUGUAUAUUUAGAAAAUUCCACUUUCAUAGUUGCUUUAAUAUCAACCACAUUAAAACAUUUCUGAUAGCUGAUUGAUCACCUCCAUAAGCAAAUCCCAAGCUCCCACACCUGUUCCAUUACCCCGAGUGCUCACAGCAUCCUUCCCAUGUGUGCACACACACGUGGACCCUCAGCACGUUUCUUAGGCACACAGACACAAUGCUCUGCAUGGCCCAAAAUGUCAGCAAAAAAAAGCACACCCCUGCUUUUAGAGCACUCAGUAGUGUCCCUGCAGCAGCCUGGUGAUUAAAAAUGUAGUUUCCUUUGGUGCUGAGCAGCCAUGAGUUGGAAGCCAAACAUCAAUAAUGAUUCUCCCUGUUUUCUGCUAUAGGUCACCUACACGAAUGUACUUUAUUCCCCUAUACUUUGGAUUGACCAACUGAACUUUCUGGUUUGUACCCACGUUAGGUAACACUGUCAUCUUUCUUCUCUGACGUUUUAUGGAGGUCUCAGGAACACACAGAGGACAAGAAACACCUGUGUGGUGGCUCAGCUGUCCAAGCAGCAUGGAAAAGGCGUUAAGAACUCGGGGGAGGAGGGUUAUAUUUUGCAAACAAAAGGAAAGUUCAUUUCCUCUGUUAGCUCACCAGAGCAUUAGGUGCAAAAACACUCCUGGAGCUCGUGAAAGACCUUCACUUAUGUCUGAAUCUAUCAAAAUUCUUUAUAGAGCCAUCUGAAAAACAUUUGAUUUUUCCUUUACAAAAUACUACAGAGCUUUUCUGAACCGUUUCAUCAAGCAAACUGUUAAUAAAAAACACCCAGACCAACAGAAAUUGUGAGCUAUAAUCAAAUCUUGGGAGCUUGGGCUUUUUUUUUCCCCCUGUAUAUUUGAAGAGUAUUGACAGAACAGUCAAAACUGCCUUCUUAUUGCAGCAGUAGUUAACCCUCCACAUGCUGACUGCCAUGUAAAUAAAUCCAGUGAUCAGCAAGUGAGCUUGGUAUAUUGCACACACCUGCAAGAAACCACAAGUACUUACACUGUAUCUCAUCUGAAUGCAGUCAUGGGACAUUCCAACAGUUUAGAAAAUAAAUGGGCACAAAUUCGUAACUGAAGCACAAUAAAGGUUUGGCUUUAGAACACAGGGAACAACAGUGAGGUGAAAACAAACACAAACGUCCUGCAUGGCAGCGAAUGCAGAAAGGAACAGAGACACUCAUUGCGUGUGCCACUGAGCUGGCUCAUAACAACCCAGAGCUCCUCCACUCACUGUCUGGCCAUCCUGGCAAUAGACCACAACACAAAUGUUAAAAUAAUAACACUAAUAAAAAUAAGUACAGAUUUGGGCUUAUUUUAGCCUAGAUGUUUUAACAAAACAUCACCAUUCAUUCCUUGGCACGAGGGUGGGAUGCCUGUGUGCUCCUACUGCGUUCCUUUAUCGCCUCAACUCUUUCUACUCUUUGCAAAGGUUAGGGCAGCAAGUUCGAGCUAACUAUAAGAAUUAAUUCCAACAAUCACAUAAUUAUCCUGUUGCUCUAAUGACAAACACAUACACAGAACGACCUGAGAUCCCUGUGAGUGCUGUGUUAAUUGUUUUGUAUCCAGAUGGAUUCCUCUGACAGUUUCUUAGAACAAGUUUAGCAUUGCAAAUGCAGCUCUACGUCUUCUUACUGCAAACCUACAGCUACACAAACUUCUGGGAAUAAACACUGCAAAGAACUUCCCACUAUUUCUCCUGAUCCUUCAUUAUCAGUCCUAAGUCAACACCAAGUUCGUUGUUACAGCAAAGCCCUGAGGCUUCCUUCCUCAACUCCAUCCCACAAAUUGCUGUUAGAGAACGCUGGUUAAGGUACAGUCACUUCUUACCUGUUACAUGUGUGUUCAGUGGGUUUGAAUCUGAAUCUGAAGCAGCAAACAGUGACACGCACUGCACUCCUAGGAGGUCAACUCCACUGAUAAUUAACAAUUCCUGUAUUAAAAACAUCAAGAAAA